GGUACCCAGCUGUAAACAUCAUGAAGGAUGUGACGGGAGGGCGGCUUCCCUCCUUUAGGAGCUGUAUAUACAUUAAUCACUGAAUCACCAAGCCAUGCUUAAUUGCAAGCUGUAUAUCACACAAAUCCAUGAAAUGCAGAAAAGGUAUUACACCGCUAAUUACAGCCCACACGGGCACCUCCACCUCAGCUGCCUGAAAGAAAAAAAAAGGAACUAUCUAGAUCUGCAGCCAUCCCGGCUUCUGCCUCAUUGCCACGAGGUCAAAAACGAGACGUAUACUUGAAAACUAUAACCACAACUCAUAUGGGAAUCUUUCAAGAAGGCUAAGGUUGCAAACAGAAUGCAGAGGUUGCCAUGAUAACAGCCUCUCCUCGUGUUUUGAUUUCUCUUUCACAUUUCAAAAAUAUGGCAAUGUUCUAAGUUCAUUAU